rnacentral:lncRNA from 1 species
UAUGGUAAGGGGGGGGUUACUUGUCUCGGUUUCCAUGACAACCAUGUCUCUACUCAUGGGUUAUUAGAUUCCAUCCACUUCCUGUGUCUAAAUUUUUAAGCCAAUCAGAAAAGUGUUUAUGCAUUUUACAACUUCUAGGACAGUGCUUCUUUAAUUGGGGCGUUUUAAGGCUCCAGUGGAGGUGUCUGCCAGCCUUAUAUUUUCUCUCGUACAGAUAGAACAAUUCACAAUAUUUACUAACUCAUAUUCUUUUAAGGUGAAGAAUGCCCUUUUUCUUGACUGUGAAAUGCAUUCUCCUCAAACCGGAUGCCACAAUUUCUUAUAACAAUGUGCAAACUGAUUUUGCUUGUUUGCUCCUGCUUGCCUUUCUCUUUCACUAUUACAGACUUAAAUCCAGUACGUGAUACAUGCUAACAAUGCACAAGACACUUAAAUGAUCCAAUGCUAAGUAAGGCUUCAGAUUUUAAAAAAAAAAAAAAAAAAGGUUAGGAAAAAUUAUUCUAAGUUUAACAACUUUGCAUUCUACAACUCCCGAGAAGAAAUCAUCAAGAAUGUAUUGUAAAGUGAUAUGUCUAUAAAUGCAAGCUAGGAGCUGACGUCUGCGAAGAAAUUUGUCACCAAAUGGCCUACUUUAUCUGGUUAGAGGCAACAACAAAAAAAUUAAACACAAAGGUACCUCAAGCAAACUGCACCCGAUUUCAACAUCAAGCUUGCAGAGAUCUGGGCACGAGAAGGCACGUCUGAAAUUACAGCACGAUUUUCAAAGAAGGUUUGGGGGUGACUGUUUUCCUAAGUCCCCAUGGAACUGACCAAUCAGUGCGAGGGAAGAGUGGGCUGUAGUCAUUUGUGCAAAUCUUCCCAGCUCUGCGAUCGCCCUUCUCUAAGGCAGAGCUGGCGAUCAAUGAAAAACUGGGAACAAAAGGAAUAUAACAGGAUGUCUUCCUUAGCUAAGGAAAAUGAUUCCCUUUUUCUUCAAUGAGCCCGUCGCACCCUGCCUACAACAGCUCCACAUGGGAGCUCCCGGCAGAACAGACCCUUGGGCUGAAGCCCAUUUUACAUGUGCAAUCAUGUGUCCCAACUGCUGGCAAAUGUGUCACCUUAAGCACAUCCUGUGACAGAGGGCUCCCCGAGCCCCACCAAUUGAAACUAACAAAUGAAAUAAAUUAAUAAUCCCACCAUGAAAAGCUGCCGAGAAAGACUGUGUUUCCCGUCCCCAAACGUCAAUCCGGGAGUAUAAACAAAGCAUGAAAAAUAGUCUCUUCAGCCUCCCUGGCCAGAGAGCACGGUUUUCUCCUCAAAACGGUGUUUCUCCAAAAAGAAAUAUUCCGACGGCCCUCAAAGGAAACUCCCAUCUGUAGAUGUCAUAUCAGGAUAACCAGUUACAGUAUUUGAAAAGAGGUUUAAACUGCCCACAGAUUGGACACUCUGUUUAUAAUUGAUAGCAAAACAGUUGCGACAGCAAUGCUGUAAACUCUGCCCGAGCCAAACUCCACCUUUAACACGUUAGUUCCUUGAAAAUAAAAGUAAUGCCAUGGGGUGGGGGGUGUCACAAAAGUAAAGACCUGGGAAGUAAUUAACAGAAUUACAGCAAUGAUUUGAUAAUUUUUAAAAUUAUCCAUUUGUCUGCUAUUUUUGAUUUUUUUAAAAAGGCGACUAUCCACAAAUUCCUGAGAAACUUUUUUUUUUUUUUUUAAUGAACUUACUUUUGAGACAAAACUAAUGAAAAUAUACAACUUGCCAUCCCUGGAUCGUUCCCAUUUGGACUGCAUGCUAUAAAUCAAUCUGAAACCAGGGGGAAAUACGGGGGCGGGCACCUUAAAAAAAAUCAAAGGGUGCCCCCAAAUGCAGCAGCCUGAACAGUGAGGGCUUCUCGUGACAAUGCUGAACCAGAGCAGAAGAUCAGGAGGCAGGAAAUGAGCCCCAUUUUCGUUACCUUCGAUCGCCUGCCCCCCCGCUGCUUCUCGCGGCCGCAUUGGGGGGCUGCGGCGGCGCUGGACUCGCGGGUGGCCCCGCCGCCGGGUCGCGCCGUCUCCCGGCCGAGCUGCAGCCGAUCGCGGCCGGAACCCCGGCUCCAGC